GAUGAACGCUGGCGGCGUGCCUAAUACAUGCAAGUCGAGCGAACGGACGACAAGCUUGCUUCUCUGAUGUUAGCGGCGGACGGGUGAGUAACACGGGGAUAACCUACCUAUAAGACUGGGAUAACUUCGGGAAACCGGAGCUAAUACCGGAUAAUAUUUUGAACCGCAUGGUUCAAAAGUAAAAGACGGUCUUGCUGUCACUUAUAGAUGGAUCCGCGCUGCAUUAGCUAGUUGGUAAGGUAACGGCUUACCAAGGCAACGAUGCAUAGCCGACCUGACAGGGUGAUCGGCCACUCUGGAACUGACACACGGUCCAGACUCCUACGGGAGGCAGCAGUAGGGAAUCUUCCGCACUGGGCGAAAGCCUGACGGCAUCACGCCGCGUGAGUGAUGAAGGUCUUCGGAUCGUAAAACUCUGUUAUUAGGGAAGAAUAUAUGUGUAAGUCACUGUGCACAUCUUGACGGUACCUAAUCGAAAAGCCACGGCGUACUACGUGCCAGCAGCCGCAGUGAUACGUGCGUGGCCAGCGUUAUCCGGAAUUAUUGAGCGUAAAGCGCGCGUAGCGGUUUUUUAAGUCUGAUGUGAAAGCCCACGGCUCAACUGUGGAGGGUCAUUGGAAACUGGAAAACUUGAGUGCAAAAGAGGAAAGUGGAAUUCCAUGUGUAGCGGUGAAAUGCGCAGAGAUAUGGAGGAACACCAGUGGCGAAGGCGACUUUCUGGUCUGUAACUGACGCUGAUGUGCGAAAGCGUGGGGAUCAAACAGGAUUAGAUACCCUGGUAGUCCACGCCGUAAACGAUGAGUGCUAAGUGUUAGGGGGUUUCCGCCCCUUAGUGCUGCAGCUAACGCAUUAAGCACUCCGCCUGGGGAGUACGACCGCAAGGUUGAAACUCAAAGGAAUUGACGGGGACCCGCACAAGCGGUGGAGCAUGUGGUUUAAUUCGAAGCAACGCGAAGAACCUUACCAAAUCUUGACAUCCUUUGACAACUCUAGAGAUAGAGCCUUCCCCUUCGGGGGACAAAGUGACAGGUGGUGCAUGGUUGUCGUCAGCUCGUGUCGUGAGAUGUUGGGUUAAGUCCCGCAACGAGCGCAACCCUUAAGCUUAGUUGCCAUCAUUAAGUUGGGCACUCUAAGUUGACUGCCGGUGACAAACCGGAGGAAGGUGGGGAUGACGUCAAAUCAUCAUGCCCCUUAUGAUUUGGGCUACACACGUGUUACAAUGGACAAUACAAAGGGCAGCGAAACCGCGAGGUCAAGCAAAUCCCAUAAAGUUGUUCUCAGUUCGGAUUGUAGUCUGCAACUCGACUACACGAAGUUGGAAUCGCUAGUAAUCGUAGAUCAGCAUGAUACGGUGAAUACGUUCCCGGGUCU
rnacentral:rRNA from 1 species